AGUGGCGGACGGGUGAGUAACGCGUGAGAAUCUGCCUUGGGGUCGGGGACAACCACUGGAAACGGUGGCUAAUACCGGAUAAGCCGAUUGGUGAAAGAUUUAUUGCCCGAAGAGGAGCUCGCGUCUGAUUAGCUAGUUGGUGAGGUAAGAGCUCACCAAGGCAGCGAUCAGUAGCUGGUCUGAGAGGACGAUCAGCCACACUGGGACUGAGACACGGCCCAGACUCCUACGGGAGGCAGCAGUGGGGAAUUUUCCGCAAUGGGCGAAAGCCUGACGGAGCAAGACCGCGUGAGGGAGGAAGGCUCUUGGGUUGUAAACCUCUUUUCUCAGGGAAGAAGCUCUGACGGUACCUGAGGAAUCAGCCUCGGCUAACUCCGUGCCAGCAGCCGCGGUAAUACGGAGGAGGCAAGCGUUAUCCGGAAUUAUUGGGCGUAAAGCGUCCGCAGGUGGCGAUUCAAGUCUGCUGUCAAAGCACGGGGCUUAACUCCGUAAAGGCAGUGGAAACUGAAUAGCUAGAGUGCCGUAGGGGUAGAAGGAAUUCCCGGUGUAGCGGUGAAAUGCGUAGAGAUCGGGAAGAACAUCGGUGGCGAAAGCGCUCUACUGGACGGCAACUGACACUCAGGGACGAAAGCUAGGGGAGCGAAUGGGAUUAGAUACCCC
rnacentral:rRNA from 1 species